GAACCCUAGAGCUGCUCGAGGAAAGGAAGAUCACUAGAGACUGCACCACAUGGAAGAUCAAUGGGGCUGCAGAUAAGGAGGAGGUUUAUUAGAUUAUAACAACUAGAACCGUACUAUUGAAGCACUCUAGUACACAAUAACACUAUAAAGAUGAAGGAUGACAAGAAGUCACCUCAGCACUCAAAAGAUGGUGGCACAGGAAGAACAUCACAGCUUGAAGGUAUUUAGUUGAACAUUUUGACUUGUAUAUGUGAUCCGAACACUGUUUGAAAUGUGGAAAAAUCAAUGAGGCUAUGUUGGUUGGCUGCAUUAUAUCAGUUCUGAGUAUUUUGCAGAGGAACCAGCUGGAUUCAAGAUCUUGCACACCACACAAUCCAUCAGC